rnacentral:lncRNA from 1 species
AUAUGGUAAAAACCAAAGAAAAACAAGUUACCUGCGUUCUCUCCUUAAUCCCUAUGUAUUUUUAAAACCUCCAUUUGUUUAAAAGUACUGCUAUCUUAUAUAUACACAUAUACAUACACACACAUAUAUUGGUCACUCAGGACAUGAACUCACAUUUCCCAUACUGCUGACUCAGAGUGGGGACACUACUAACUUACCAAAGUGUGUCCCCAAUAUAGACAAACAAUCACCCACAAAAAACACUUAAGACAAACAAAGGUGACCGGGAGAAAGAGAAGUUUGGGUUAUACUUAUAGAUAAUAAACCGGAGACUCUUAUGGUCUCAAAAACCUGUAUCUACCUGAGAUACCCUGUAUCUAUCUUAGAUACUAACCUGGGUUACCAAAACCCUAUAAUAAACCGGAGACCUCUUAUGGUCUCAAAAACCUGUAUCUAUCUUAGAUACUAACCUGGGUUACCAAAACCCUAUAUAUAUUUAGACCAAAUGUCUAAUAAACCGGAGACCUAUUUACAGUCUCAAUAUAACUAGAGUCCUUACACCUUUCCUAUCUACUGGAUACAGACUUACUGAACCAAAGGGGGUCAUAGACAAUCAGCGUCAAAUAAGACACAAAAAGGCUACUCACCGCAAAUGGUUUUGCUGAUCCAACUUCUAUCUAUCCCACUUCUAGACACCAAGCUGAAAGGGUUAAUGUUGUAAUGGACUCUAAUCCCCUCGGUUCUCGAUCCCUCGGUCACCAUAAUCAACGUUGAUGGAGGAUCAUUUGUAAGCAAUAACACACGGACAACAGCUUUACA